GGCUAAGCUUCCCUGACCAGUAAGUGGACAGACCACCUAGGCCAGUGAGGAUACUCCAGUGGGAUCUGAUUAUCGUUCAUCUUGGAGGUGACAAUGACUGAUCGGCCACUUUCGCAGAGUACUGCCCGGCAGCACGCAUGACUCCUGGCACCUCUUGAAAAUGAGGAAGGGGGAGGAACCUAACCCUCAAGUCGUCGGAGCUGCUGUAUUUCUUUGAUGCUCUCCAAUUCAUAUUCUAUCCAAAAGGAGCAGAAACUGUUCCACAAAGUUUUCAGCCAUUAUGAUGAAGUGCAGUCACCUCUGGAAAGGACCAUGGAAGCUCUUUGAGAGCUAUAUUAUACAGUGCUAUAGCAGAGAGUUGAAGAAAAACAAAAUCACAUGCCCAUCAGAAAUUGCAAAGGGGAGAUUAGGGAGAAGAAGGUGAUUACUCAAAGUGGAAAAUAAUAGAAGCAACAGUCAAUUCCUCCCUAAGCAAGUUGGAGAGGAUGAAUGGCUACACAUGGACAGACUCUGGAUAUUAUGUUUUAUAGCAGAAAUUUUCAUCCUGGAUCAUGGAAGUUAGGGAAUGCAUAGACGUUUUCUAAGAGGUCUGAGAAAGAUAACAGGGAAAAGCUAGCCAACUGUAGGGAGCUUAUACUACAUUACCCACUUCCAACAGGCAAAGCUUUGGGGGCCCUCAGAUCAACAUAGGGUGAAAGUCAGUGUUUUUUUCCCAAACAGGUCAUGCCAAGCCAGCCAGCCCCCUUCAGCACCACGAGGUGGGGUUAGUCCAGCAUAGAUCUGCUGCCGACAAAUGCCAGGUAGUGAAUAAUAAUUGCAGUCCCAUUUCCUGCAGCAAUUUCUCCAUAGAGCUUUCUUAUUGACCCAGUGCAGUUUAGCUUGUGAGAUGUGAUGAAAUCAUAGCCAGAGGGUUUAUGGCAGUGGCUGCAGGCUAUUAAAGCUCAGAUGCCAUCCUUAACUUGUGCUGUGGGCUCUUCUUUAUUCGUGGCAUGACAGCCAGAGGAUGAGGUGUCAGGCGUAACAGUAACGUUUCUUGGCACCCAUUGGUUUGUAUUGCUCACAAAACUUUGCCUUAUUUAGGAGACGAUUUGUGUAUUUAUAAUUAAUAUGGAUUAGAUAUUAUUAUCUAUGCAAUAUGGCAGGCAAGCAGUUUUGAGAGGCUAACAGCUGUUCAAUAAUGCAAAUGAUGCACACAUAAAUUACAGUUUAGUAAUAGGAUAUUAUUACCAACACACACAAAAGUUCAGAACCCAGGGGUGACAAAUAUAAAUAACCACGAUAUGGAAACUUUCCCAAGCUUUCCCUAGACAUGCAGCUGAGGUGCAGGGAACAGACCCAGGCACUGGUUCCUCCAGUACUCUGCAACUGGUGUCACUGUUCACGUCAGUUAUGAGUGAAUGGAAAAACAGCACAGCUGGUCUCAAAGCAGCCAUCUAAGCUUUCUGUGCUUACUACCAGCCAAAAAAACCUCCCAGUGCUCUGUUGGCACCUGGAGUUUUUAAAGAAACACAUCAGAUUUGACAAAUAUUUAGUUGGGAAGGUUGGUCGGUUCUGAAAACGAGCCUCCUCCUGAGGAAGGCAGUGGCUGAGUGACCCACUCUCCAAUUUUUUCCAGUCUCUGCUACGGUUUACUCUUUUCCUUGCCAGCACAGGCAUACCCAGCAGUACGUACCCAGGACUGGCAUUUCUGGCCUUCGGCUGCCCUCCUCCUUCUGCCUUCCCUUUUACAGAGGUGGGAAACACAAAUUCAAGCUCCCCUGCUUCAGAACAGGGACGCAAAUCCUGUCCUGUUCUACUAAAGUGAUCUGGGCUAGUUAAGUGGGAGGUAUCUCUUGUUUGUUUGUUUGUCUAUGAGAAAUUUUGAAAUGUCUUUUUAUUUUGUUUUCAUUGCUGUAAUGUCAAACCAAAAGCAAGUGUUGAGGUGCCAGUAUUUAGAGGUGAAGGAAGUUUUGUUCACCAGCCAGCCUUAGUACAUUACAGUAACAAGGAUGUGCAGAAGAGCUCUCUACCACUCUCUCCUGGACCUCAUCAAGAGAGGUACUCAAUGGCUAUAAGCUAACACCAGAUUUCUUCUUCUUCUUCUUCUUCACGUUUAAGUCUACAAUACAUGCAGGUUUCCUUGGAUAUGUCCUCUUUUUCCACCCCAAAACUUUGUCUGGCAGGAACCCAGGGGAUUUGCCAGGAUGGCUGGCUAUUUUUCUGCUCGAUGGGGACAGUUGCUGUGGUGCCGACUGAACUGAGGGGCAGCUGGAAACCCCAGUGUGCUCAGGAGUAGCCGCCAGACCCUCCUGUGCAGGAGGUAAGCUAGACCCGGGUCAAAGCAACAGGCCUUCCGUGUGUGCAGUAAAUCUGAGGCGUUCUGGACGUGGUGCACCACCGCUGGAUGACCUACCUGGGGCAUCGCACGUAUUUCUCUCUAGGAAGUUCUGGAUGCAAAUACAGGCACUCUAUUUUUCACUCCAGUCAGAGACUUCUGAGACUCUGAACCCAGAGUUCAAGCCUUGCUGCCAGCAAAAUGCCGUAAGCAUAAGGCGUUCCCCGAGAUUCUGGCACGGUUGUGUCUUCAGAGCCCAUGGCGCUUUUCUCAAACCUUGCUCAGAGCUGCCUCAGCAGCAGCACCCUGUCAAGACUGCCAAAAGCUUCAGCUGGAGGCUGUAGCUUAUGAAACACCCCAGCCAGGCAAUUUUCAAGAAACCAAGACUCCCGCUGAGUCUUUUGUCUUCAGGACACUUUAACCCACCAACACCAGGGCCCAAUUCAGGAAAAGCAGGCCCUCCUCAGAGCUGUGGGAGUACGACCUGCACUAUAAGCACCUGAGUAGUAUCUGAACAGAGAUGAGGGAAGUAAGAAGCUGCUUUCCUUAAUCCAAGCCUAAAAGCAGAGCACAGAGAGGACUUAUUCAUCUCUUCUGAUGAGAGCCAGCCCCACAGCUGGGAAGUCCUGAGAGAAGUAAGAGUGAGGCACAGAAAGCACUGCAGCUCUGGCAUAGCCUCCAAAACACAGGCUAUGAGUGGGGCUUGGCACAAGCACUGUAACAGCUCCUCUUGCGGUUGUUAAGCCAGUCUAACUAUGUAAAAUAUACUGACAGGAGUCCUGUUAACAAAGCAAAUCCAAAUCGGCUCCUCUGCCAAGAUCCCAGUAAAAAGCAAAGGAUUGAGAAAGAAGCAGGACACCACAAAAAGGCUUUGAUUUUGCACUUCCAAAUCAGCUUUCACACAGAAGAAGAUAACUGGAGAUUUUAAAUGGGGUGAGAGAGAAGAGGGGAACAGCAGAAACAUAAAAGCAGGCAAAAGUAAAUAAAAAUUGCACAUGUCCUCAGGUCUAAAUUUGCACAAGACACUCAUAUAUCUAGAAAUCUCCAUGAGCCAGAAGCUCAGCCAUUGCCCAUUUCCUUCACUGAAUCCACCUGCAAGGUAGUUUAACAAAGGUACAGUACCCCCAGACUCCUGCCUCUGGGCAACAGAUAAAAUUCACAGGUCCCUUUUCCAACCCAACCUGUAAUUCUGCCUUCAAUGACAAUGCCUGACAGAGGGAAAAGCACGGCAUUGCCCCAGUACCGUAAAUAAGGCUGAGAUUACUGGCAACGUAGAAUAGGACUGACUAUUGCAAUAUUUAAUCUUCAGGGUGGGCAAUUCAUUAAAACAGAUAUCUAGGGGUUUAAUCACUCUGCCAGGCUGCCAUCUGCUUCCCUCAUGCUCCCUCCUGGCUCAGGCCAGGUCUCGAUAUAUGAGGGGACAGCUUGUGAGAGGCACAUUGGGGGCCUGUGUCAUAAUUCAUCUUGUGAGCACAACAGAGCAAGCUGUUUGGUGCUGUGAAUCCCUACCAGAUGCAUGCAAACACGAUGAACCUGCUUCUGCACUGAGAGGGGAACUGGAAGAGCAUGGUGAAAGGGUCCCAAGGUUUGGUUUGGCCUCUGGGACUAGGUUGGGAAUGGAAGGGGCCAUGUCAGCAGGGAUUAUAGAAAGCAUCUGGAAAUACUUACAGAGAUGCUAUUCACAGAUAUGAAAUCAAUUCUUCUCAUCAGCUUUCUUGCUGUGAUUUUUCACUGACACCAGUCUUCUCCUCCAAAACCUGUGCUCCUCUACCUCCCUUGGACUUUGUCCUAUGUACAACCUUAGAAACAACAUUCCCACCUUCCAGGUCAUUUCCUCAACAACUGAAAAAUAGGCCUUCUGGUUGCUCCAAGGGGGUCUAUACUCAAUUUAAUAGUAACCUUCAGCUGGUGGGCAAGACCUAUCUGGACCUUUGUGCCCAGUCUGAUAGGACCUAGGUGGGGUUUGGCUCUGAAACUUCUUCUCAGCACAAACCUGCUCUUUUUCAGCACAUUGGCAACCAGCAAGCCAAGAAAGACAGGGCCAACAUGGGCUGCUUGCUCACCUUGCCAGGUAGUCAGCAGGAGAGUACUGCGCUAUGUGGAGAAGAUCCAGUCCAGGGAUAAAGGGGGAAAAGGGCAGGAAUGUUUCCCUGAACUGGAGAUCUGAGUCCAACAGUUAGUAAGGAUUUGGAAUUUACCCCAAAUGAAUUAGCUCCAUCCCUGGCUGCAGACCUUGCAGGCAGUGAAAGAUAAUUCCUUUUCAGGCACUGGAAAAAUGUCCCUACCCAGGAGGGUGGGGAUUCGUUGGAAGGGUUCCUUCAAAGCAGCUCGCACUAAUGCUGGCUGUUUUGUGCCACUGAUGGCUAGAUGACAUCUGCUCUGCAGGGUGAACCUGAGAGGAAGAAUGAUGGAGUGAUGGCAGCUGUUUGUCGUGUGAAGGAUCUGACCUCAUUUCCUGCCUCUGCCAUAGCUUCCACUUCUUGUCUUCGCCCAGAUCCACAAAGUGUCCGUUUUUUAUUUAGGUGUGUAGGUCCCACAGAACACCACGGGACCUAGAGAGGACUAUGAAUGCCUACAAGAUGCCUAUGAAGACGUAGGUUUCAUUCCUUGAUUCCUUGCUUGCAAGAUGCCAUCAUGAAUCUGACUGUCUCGUCUACUUAGUAGUAUCUCCAGGGUAUGGACUCUCCCUGUUGUUAUGUGACUGAAAAGUACCUACCACCAUCCAAACGGUAGAUGAUUUUAACUGUAAAAAAAAAAAAAAAGUCAGUAAAUCUACUUUUUCAUGUGUUAAAUGAACUCACUAAAUAAAUAUUAACACAAAGAACAAACAAAAUGAAGCAGUACUCACCUAACCCUUUCUUAUCAACAGCAAUACAGGAGGAUUUUUAAAUCCCUCCAAAAAAAAAAAAAAAAAAAAAAAAGGAAAAAGGAGUUAUAGGAAACAACAUAAUAAAGAGCUAUUUUUUAAUGAA